rnacentral:lncRNA from 1 species
GGGAUUGGGAUUGGGAUUGGGGUCGGGCAUUGUUACCCAUGGCCCAGGGCGCUUCCUUGCGCUGCGCCAGGCGGCACGGGUCGCGGUAACGCCGGAACAGCUUGUGCCGCUGGUUGGCACCGUCACCUGCACCGACACCACGUCACCAACACCCACACCGACACACUCUGCCCGUGUCCCCAUGUCCCCGUGUCCCCUUGUCCCUCUGUCCCUGUGUCCCCCUGUCCCCUUGUCCCCAUGUCCCAAUGUCCCCAUGUCCCUAUGUCCCCAUGUCUCACAAGUGUCCCCCUGUCCCUGUGUCCCCAUGUCCCCGUGUCCCCAUGUCCCUGUGUCCCUAUGUCCACAUGUCCCCCUGUCCCUGUGUCCCCAUGUCCCUGUGUCCCCACAUCCCAUUGUCCCCAUGUCCCCAUGUCCCCGUGUCCCCCCGUCCCCUUGUCCCUGUGUCCCCGUCCCCAUGUCCCCACGUCCCCAUGUCCCUGUGUCCCACAAGUGUCCCCUUGUCCCCAUGUCCCCAUGUCAGUGGAUGCCCAUGUCCCCAUGUCCCCAUGUCAGUGCAUCCCCACGUCCCAGUGUCUCCAUGCCCCCAUGUCCCCAUGUCCCACAAGUGUCCCCAUGUCCCCAUGUCCCCAUGUCCCCAUAUCCCACAAGUGUCCCCAUGUCCCCAUGUCCCCAUGUCCCCAUGUCCCCAUAUCCCACAAGUGUCCCCAUGUCCCCAUGCCCCCACGUCCCCAUGUCCCCAUAUCCCACAAGUGUCCCCAUGUCCCCAUGUCCC